GGAGGGACGCAGGAGGCUAAGCGAACCGCAUGAUUGGAAGAGUGCGGCCAAGCAACAAGUCAGUAACUGAGUCAAAUGCUUAGUUGCGGGUUGACAAGUUGUGAUGGGGAGUGAAAUUUUAGUAACGAAGUCGCUGAUGUCACACUGCCGAGAAAAGCUUCUAGUGAGUAUUCAACUGCCCGUACCGCAAACCGACACAGGUAGUCGAGGAGA
rfam:Lactobacillus panis DSM 6035 NODE_246, whole genome shotgun sequence.